UACUCCUACGGGAGGCAGCAGUGAGGAAUAUUGGGCAAUGGACGAAAGUCUGACCCAGCAACGCCGCGUGGAGGAUGAAGGUCGUAAGAUUGUAAACUCCUGUGAGGAGGGACGAAAGAUUAAGUUUCGUAAGGGACUUAAAAUGACUGUACCUUCAGAGGAAGCCCCGGCUAACUACGUGCCAGCAGCCGCGGUAAUA
rnacentral:rRNA from 1 species